AAAGUCUGAUGGAGCAACGCCGCGUGAGUGAAGAAGGGUUUCGGCUCGUAAAACUCUGUUGUUAAAGAAGAACAUAUCUGAGAGUAACUGUUCAGGUAUUGACGGUAUUUAACCAGAAAGCCACGGCUAACUACGUGCCAGCAGCCGCGGUAAUACGUAGGUGGCAAGCGUUGUCCGGAUUUAUUGGGCGUAAAGCGAGCGCAGGCGGUUUUUUAAGUCUGAUGUGAAAGCCUUCGGCUCAACCGAAGAAGUGCAUCGGAAACUGGGAAACUUGAGUGCAGAAGAGGACAGUGGAACUCCAUGUGUAGCGGUGAAAUGCGUAAAUAUAUGGAAGAACACCAGUGGCGAAGGCGGCUGUCUGGUCUGUAACUGACGCUGAGGCUCUAAAGUAUGGGUAGCAAACAGGAUUAGAUACCCCAGUAGUCAA
rnacentral:rRNA from 1 species